rnacentral:lncRNA from 1 species
GUGUCAGUGGUGAUGGUGGUGGAGGUGGCAGUGGCGAUGGUGGAGGUGGCAGUGGCGAUGGCAGUGGCAGUGGCGAUGGCAGUGGAGGUGGCAGUGGCGAUGGCGGUGGCAGUGGCGAUGGCGGUGGAGGUGGCAGUGGCGAUGGUGGUGGAGGUGGCGGUGGCAGUGGCGGUGGCGAUGGCAGUGGCGAUGGCGGUGGAGGUGGCAGUGGCAAAGUCGGUGGAGGUGGCAGUGGCAGUGGCGAUGGUGGUGGAGGUGGCAGUGGCAACAGGGCAAUCGAACGAUGCUCAAAGAGGCUUCUCUUGCUUUCUCUCCUCCACCUUGGAAUGGGCUUGGGCUGAGAGUGUCCCAGAAGAAGUAAAUGUCAGAUAACCGCUGUGUCUGGGCUGGAGACGCUCUGUGUGAGCUUUCAAU